rnacentral:rRNA from 1 species
CUUAUUUUAGAGCUUAAUCAUUACUCCUAUAUCAAAAUAAUUACUUUCAAAUCCACUUUAAUAUAAAUUUUCAAGUCAUAAACCAUAUAAAUAAAUUUAUUGUAACCCAUUUCUACUUAACUAUAAGCUGCAUCUUGAUCUGAUUUAGAUUCUAAUAAAACAAAAUGAACAUUCUCUUUCUUUUAAAAUAUUCAACGACGACGAUAUACAAACCCUAAAUUAAGUGCUGUUAAUCGUGGAACAUCAAUUACAGAACAGGUUCCUCUGAAAAGACUAAAAUACCGCCAAAAUCUUUAAUUUUCAAGAACAUAACUAAUACUAAUCAGGCAAAAUAUUUACAUUUAAAAUUAAUGGA